UGGGGAAUAUUGCACAAUGGGCGCAAGCCUGAUGCAGCCAUGCCGCGUGUGUGAAGAAGGCCUUCGGGUUGUAAAGCACUUUCAGCGAGGAGGAAGGUGGUGAACUUAAUACGUUCAUCAAUUGACGUUACUCGCAGAAGAAGCACCGGCUAACUCCGUGCCAGCAGCCGCGGUAAUACGGAGGGUGCAAGCGUUAAUCGGAAUUACUGGGCGUAAAGCGCACGCAGGCGGUUUGUUAAGUCAGAUGUGAAAUCCCCGGGCUCAACCUGGGAACUGCAUUUGAAACUGGCAAGCUAGAGUCUCGUAGAGGGGGGUAGAAUUCCAGGUGUAGCGGUGAAAUGCGUAGAGAUCUGGAGGAAUACCGGUGGCGAAGGCGGCCCCCUGGACGAAGACUGACGCUCAGGUGCGAAAGCGUGGGGAGCAAACAGGAUUAGAUACCCCUGGUAGUCCACGCUGUAAAACGAUGUCGAUUUUGGAGGUUGUGCCCUUGAGGCGUGGCUUCCGGAGCUAACGCGUUAAAUCGACCGCCUGGGGAGUACGGCCGCAAGGUUAAAACUCAAAUGAAUUGACGGGGUC
rnacentral:rRNA from 1 species